GAAGUGGCAGCAGCCAGAGAGGGAGUCGGUGUGGACGCGAGAAGCCGGGCACUUAGAACAGAGGCUCGCACAGGUGGAGAUGUGGAAGUCUGUAGUGGGCCAUGAUGUGUCUGUUUCCGUGGAGACCCAGGGUGAUGAUUGGGACACAGAUCCUGACUUUGUGAAUGACAUCUCUGAAAAGGAGCAACGAUGGGGAGCCAAGACCAUCGAGGGCUCUGGACGCACAGAACACAUCAACAUCCACCAGCUGAGGAACAAAGUUUCAGCGGAGCAUGAUGUUCUCAAGAAGAAAGAGAUGGAGUCAGGGCCCAAAGCAUCCCAUGGCUAUGGAGGACGGUUUGGAGUAGAAAGAGACCGAAUGGACAAGAGUGCAGUGGGCCAUGAGUAUGUUGCCGAGGUGGAGAAGCACUCUUCUCAGACGGAUGCUGCCAAAGGCUUUGGGGGCAAGUACGGAGUUGAGAGGGACAGGACAGACAAGACAGGACAGUGGAUGCUGUGAGGACCUGACACCAUCACAAAGAUACCUCCCUCAGCAAGUUCCUUGGUGCCAGUGUUGGAAGCCACAUGCUGAGCUGAAAGACAGUGAUUCAAAUAAGGAGAAGACUUUCAAACUGUGUGUUUGAAUGAAUAAUUCCUCAAGCCACUGGUUUUUAUUAUACUCAUAUGCAUGAAGAUAGAACAGAGAAUCGUCUAAGCUCUUCUUUUGGCUUAACAUCAGAACCUUAUAAAUACUCAUGCCGUUUAGGAAAACAGAGUCAUCAGUUUAAAUAUUAUUGCCAUGGAAGCAGAUAAUCCAGUUAAACAACUAAUUAGGGUUACUAUUUACAGAAUUUAGCGUCAAUCUAUGAAGUCCAGAUAUCUUUAAAGACUCCUUUGUACAAAACAAAACAAAAUGUUGUUUUAAAGAGAAAAAAAAGUACCGUAUGAUUACAAUAUCAUAUUGUUGACAGGAGAGUAAGAUUGAUAACUCAUUGAUGUUUUUAGUUUCAUGCCUUGUUAGGUCGGAUUCUUUGAACUCAUUUUUUAUGGCGCAGAAUGGUGUCUCCUACCCUGCAGCUGCACAGAGAGAGGACAUCU
rnacentral:sRNA from 1 species